ensembl:lncRNA
CGAGGUCUGUCAGCUUUAAAUAUUUAAAUAUACGUGGGACUACUGCCUGGGAUAGUGACAAGUUUAAGAUAUCAGUGUACACACCAGCUAGUUGUUCCCCAUAGGCCUUCAGUACUCUGGGGGAUCUCCAUCGGGUCCCACAGCCUUGUGGGUUUUCUCCUUUUUGAGAGCUUUCAGAACCUGUGUGUGUGUCACUUGGAAGACAGUGUCUGUGGGGUCACAGGGGGGCUUUCAGGGUGUGUCUGUGUUCAGCUUGUCAAACCUGGCAUAGAAGGUAUUGAGGCUGUCUGGACGGGUGGUGUCUCAGGGGCCUGUAGUUGUUGUGGUUCCCCUGUAGUUUGUGACAGCUUAAAUUCUCUGCCACAUGCUGCGUCUGUUGUUGUUGAGGUAGUAGCCUACAAGUUGUGUUGAGUGGUUUGCUACUCUGAUGGACUUCUGCAGUUUGUAGCGGACUCUCUCAUACUCCACACGAUCUCCUACAUUGAAAGCCUUCCUCCCUUCUCAGAUUUUCAGUUUAAUGUCUCCAUUAAACCAGGGUUUUUGGUUGGGGAACCUACGCACAGCCCUGGGAGGGGCACAAAUAGACGUACACCAGUUUAUGUAGCUGCGCACAGUCUUUGUGUAUUAGUGGAUGGUUAGUUUAUCAAGUGGUUUUUGUGUUUAGUGUUGCAGUGUUUUCUUGUUUAGAUAUGCACGUGAAUGACUUUUGUGCUUUGAGAUUUAUCUUAUUUGUACAUUCUGGGUUUUUUUUCCUGCCAUCAUUGUGUGUGGUCGCUGUUGUUGUGGUGGUGCUGGUGAUGCUGGUGACAUUUUAUCUUAGUUAUUUGACUUUGCAAAUUACACUGAACAUGUCGAAAACCACAACAACUGUCAUGGUUCCUUGAGCCAGUGGGGUUUUUUUUACAUUCUAGUUCUGUUGUUAUCCAUCUUUCUGGGUCCGUUUCCUGGUUGAUUGUCCCUUUUCCCUAGUCAUCAUCUGUUUUUUUUUUCUCUCCAUGGCUUUCUGCAUUCCCUGUCUUGUCUUCUCAUGCCUUGUCAGGCUAAUACGUCUGUACUCCUGGUCCCCAUGUUUUUUCAUUUUUUGUUCCCAUAUUCUUUUUGUUGUGUUUCAUCCUUUUGUCCUUUCAGUCUGCCAUGUCCUCAUGUCUGUCCAUCCCCAAUGUCAACUUUACAUAUCUUAGUCAAGUUUCAAAGUGUGUGUGCUAUGUCCUCUUUUAUUUUGUCAGCCCUCUGUUUCACGUGUGUAUGUUCAGUUUUGCUCUCCCUGUCUCGUUAAUCAAAUGUAGUUCACCUGUGGUCCCUGGUGUGCUCCAUCUCCCUGAUUACCUCAUGUGUAUGUAAGUCCUCAGUUUCCCCCUGUUUUUUGUCACAUUGUUGUCUUACAUACUCUUAAUGCUGUGUGCAUCCUGAUCCUUAUCCUAGCUAUAGUACUUCUUACAUUGUAUUUUAUUCUCAAGUUCAUAAGCCCCUGCAGAAAAGCUAUGUAAAACUCAUGUUUAGUCUCCUGUCCUGCACUUGGUGUUCUCAGUCUGUACACAGCCAGUUCAUGACAACAACAAACAAACAAGUCCCCAACCCUAUGAGGUGACAAAACUUAGGGGAAAAG